UACGAAGGGUGCUAGCGUUGUUCGGAAUCACUGGGCGUAAAGCGCGCGUAGGCGGCUUUUCAAGUCAGGGGUGAAAUGCCUGGGCUCAACCCAGGAACUGCCUUUGAAACUGUUAAGCUAGAGUGUUGGAGGGGAUGGCGGAAUUGCUAAUGUAGAGGUGAAAUUCGUAGAUAUUAGCAGGAACACCGGUGGCGAAGGCGGCCAUCUGGACAACAACUGACGCUGAGGAGCGAAAGCAUGGGGAGCGAACAGG
rnacentral:rRNA from 1 species